rnacentral:tRNA from 1 species
GAGGUUGUGGCUCAGUGGUAGAGCGCUUGCCUAGCAUUGCAUGAAGCACUGGGUUCGAUCCCCAGCACCACA